ACGCACGGAGGCAUCUCCUGUGCGUGGAAAGAACUUCGGUCAAGGAUGGACUCGCGGCCUAUCAGGUAGUUGGUGAGGUAACGGCUCACCAAGCCUACGACGGGUAGCCGGCCUGAGAGGGUGACCGGCCACACUGGGACUGAGACACGGCCCAGACUCCUACGGGAGGCAGCAGUGGGGAAUAUUGCACAAUGGGCGCAAGCCUGAUGCAGCAACGCCGCGUGAGGGACGACGGCCUUCGGGUUGUAAACCUCUUUUAGUAGGGAAGAAGCGAAAGUGACGGUACCUGCAGAAAAAGCACCGGCUAACUACGUGCCAGCAGCCGCGGUAAUACGUAGGGUGCGAGCGUUGUCCGGAAUUAUUGGGCGUAAAGAGCUCGUAGGCGGUCUGUCGCGUCUGCUGUGAAAACCCGAGGCUCAACCUCGGGCCUGCAGUGGGUACGGGCAGACUAGAGUGCGGUAGGGGAGAAUGGAAUUCCUGGUGUAGCGGUGGAAUGCGCAGAUAUCAGGAGGAACACCGAUGGCGAAGGCAGUUCUCUGGGCCGUAACUGACGCUGAGGAGCGAAAGCGUGGGGAGCGAACAGGAUUAGAUACCCUGGUAGUCCACGCCG
rnacentral:rRNA from 1 species